rnacentral:lncRNA from 1 species
UCAUUUACCUAGUGAUCGAAAGAAUUCAAAAUCAAUAAUUUUUAUGAUAUCUGCCGUUUUCAAGUUUAACGGUAUAGAAGCAUUCAAAUCAGAUGAAAUUUUGAUACAAAUUUUUUAUACCUAUCUACAACAAAUCAAUAUUUGUGAUCGAAAUAUUUAGAAAAUUUUAGUGCUAUAUCACCACUUUUUAUAGGAUUUUUAUUUUCAGCCGUUAAAAAUUAUUGAUUUUGAAUCCUUUCAAUUGCUAGGUAAAUGAUAUCGAAAAAUCGUAAAAAUUAUUUUCUAGGAACUUCAAAUACGCUAGAUCAAGUUUAACGGAGCCGAUCGUCGAUUCGAAAACUCCAUCAUCGAAAACGGCUCAGGAGCAUGGAGGCCUCCGUGCUCCUGAGAGCACAGCAGCCCUGCUCUAUAUAUAUAUAUAGUAGGGCUACUAUACUCUUAUGAGUAUAGAGCCAGUCGUACUCAUAAGUUGUUUUUGAUGUUGCGGUUUUCGAAUCAACGAUCCACGCCGCUAAACAUGAUCUAGAGUAUUUGAAACUUCUAGAAAAUAAAUUUCGUAUUUUUUCGAAAAAUCAUUAUACAGUCCAUCAAGCAGCUGUAAAAUGAAUGGAUAAAAUCGAACUACAUCCUAAAAAUGUAUGAUCGGAUCCUUUCAAUUUAAGAUCAGAGUUAUUGAUCUUUAUUUAGGUAGUAUAUAGAAUUUUUUAUCAAAAAUUCAAUCUAUUACGAUUCUUUUUCACCGUUAAACUAUCAAAUAUCUCAUACCGGCCGUUAAAAAUUGUCAAUUUUGUGAGCUUUUGAUCGUAAGGUAAAAGAUAUCAAAAAAUUAUAAAAUUUGAUUUCUAGAAGUUUUAAAUGCUCUAAAUAAUGUUUAACGGUAUGGAUCGUCGAUUCGGAAGUUCUAUCAUCGAAAAUAACUUAUGAGUACGAAGGCGAUCGUACUCAUAAGAGCAUAGUAGCCGGACUCAUAUAUAGUAGAGCUACUAUACUCUUAUGAGUAUUGGGCCCUUCGUACUCAUAAGUUGUUUUCGAUGAUGGAGCUUCCGAAUCGACGAUCCACUCUGUUAAAUAUGAUCUAAAAUAUUUGAAACUUCUAGAAAAUAAAUUUCGUAAUUUUUCGAAAUCAUAAUAAUGUCCAUCAGGCGGGCAUAAAAUGAACGGUCAAAAUCGAACGACGUCUUAAAAAUGGAUGAUCGGAUCCUUCAAUUGAAGAUCGGAGCUAUUGAUCUUUAUCUAGAUAGUGAAUAGAAUUUUCUAUCAAAAAUUCAACCUAUUCGGAUUCUUUUGCACCGUUAAACUAGCAAGUAUUCCAUACCGGCCGUUAAAAAUUGUCAAUUUUAUGAGCUUUUGAUCAUAAGGUAAAUGAUGUCGAAAAAUUAUGAAAUUUGAUUUCUAGAAGUUUUAAUGCUCUAAAAAAUGAUUAACGGUAUGGAUCGUCGAUUCAGAAGCUCUAUCAUCGAAAACGACUUAUGAGUACGAAGGCGAUCAUACUCAUUAGAGCAUAGUAGCCAAACUCUA